ACGAACGCUGGCGGCGUGCCUCAUACAUGCAAGUAGAACGCUGAAGAGAGGAGCUUGCUCUUCUUGGAUGAGUUGCGAACGGGUGAGUAACGCGUAGGUAACCUGCCUUGUAGCGGGGGAUAACUAUUGGAAACGAUAGCUAAUACCGCAUAACAAUGGAUGACACAUGUCAUUUAUUUGAAAGGGGCAAUUGCUCCACUACAAGAUGGACCUGCGUUGUAUUAGCUAGUAGGUGAGGUAAUGGCUCACCUAGGCGACGAUACAUAGCCGACCUGAGAGGGUGAUCGGCCACACUGGGACUGAGACACGGCCCAGACUCCUACGGGAGGCAGCAGUAGGGAAUCUUCGGCAAUGGGGGCAACCCUGACCGAGCAACGCCGCGUGAGUGAAGAAGGUUUUCGGAUCGUAAAGCUCUGUUGUAAGUCAAGAACGGGUGUGAGAGUGGAAAGUUCACACUGUGACGGUAGCUUACCAGAAAGGGACGGCUAACUACGUG
rnacentral:rRNA from 1 species